GGAAUAUUGCACAAUGGGGGAAACCCUGAUGCAGCGACGCCGCGUGAGUGAAGAAGUAUUUCGGUAUGUAAAGCUCUAUCAGCAGGGAAGAUAAUGACGGUACCUGACUAAGAAGCUCCGGCUAAAUACGUGCCAGCAGCCGCGGUAAUACGUAUGGAGCAAGCGUUAUCCGGAUUUACUGGGUGUAAAGGGAGCGCAGACGGCAAGGCAAGUCUGAUGUGAAAGUCCGAGGCUCAACCUCGGGACUGCAUUGGAAACUGUCUGGCUAGAGUGCAGGAGAGGUAAGUGGAAUUCCUAGUGUAGCGGUGAAAUGCGUAGAUAUUAGGAGGAACACCAGUGGCGAAGGCGGCUUACUGGACUGUAACUGACGUUGAGGCUCGAAAGCGUGGGGAGCAAACA
rnacentral:rRNA from 1 species